GACGAACGCUGGCGGCGUGCCUAAUACAUGCAAGUUGAGCGCUGAAGGUUGGUACUUGUACCGACUGGAUGAGCAGCGAACGGGUGAGUAACGCGUGGGGAAUCUGCCUUUGAGCGGGGGACAACAUUUGGAAACGAAUGCUAAUACCGCAUAAAAACUUUAAACACAAGUUUUAAGUUUGAAAGAUGCAAUUGCAUCACUCAAAGAUGAUCCCGCGUUGUAUUAGCUAGUUGGUGAGGUAAAGGCACACCAAGGAGAUGAUACAUAGCCGACCUGAGAGGGUGAUCGGCCACGUUGGGACUGAGACACGGCCCAAACUCCUACGGGAGGCAGCAGUAGGGUAUCUUCGGAAAUGGACGUGAGUCUUACCGAGGCACGCCGCGUGAGUGUAGUAGGUUUUCGGAUCGUAAAACUCUGUUAGUAGAGAAGAACGUUGGUGAGAGUGGAAAGCUCAUCAAGUGACGGUAACUUCCCAGAAAGGCACGGCUAACUACGUG
rnacentral:rRNA from 1 species